AGGCACUCCUCACCCAGUAACUGCUGAAAGAGAGCCCCGGGGAACCACAGUGAGAUGGGGCGAUGCUGUGGGGAGGAGGAUGCGCGUUCCUAGUGCAGCAAUCCCAGUCUGGGGGCUCUCCCACUGCGAUGUGUCAAGACCGACCUCUGAGACCUCCGUGCCCCAGUGAAGCUCAUAUUCAAAGCCUGGAGGUCUGUACAGAUAUUUCCUUCUGUGAAAUAAUGGGAUGAAACAGGAAAUGGGGCUGUUUGUGGAAACCAGCGCAGGCUUCAUCCUUUGAGGGUCUGCAACAUCCUGCAGAUGCUGUGCUGCAACCUGAAAGCAUCAUCAGACCGGUAAGAGAAAGAUGCUGUGAAUGCUGGAGGGCAAGAGCUGCCAUCGCAGCCACAGGAUCAGGAUGUGCUGUACCUGGGAACCAGAAUCCCACAUGUGUUCCAGCUAUAUUCAAAUCUAUCUGAUGGAUUCUAGCCUAGAAACUACGUUUAAAAUCUCCCGUGAAUAUUCUGUCUUCCAUAUACAAAUUUCC